UGCAGGAAGCUUAAAGAAACAUUCCAUGACAAAUUGAUUGAUUGGUGCCAUGUCUGAGAGAAUGGGAACGGAAGUCAGCGGCGCAGUGCAUUCUGGGACAAAAAGGGCAUUUUCCUCCAUUAGGUGACCUGACGAUCGUGGGCACGGACGUUACAUCCAACAACACAACAGCAAAACAACCUGCUCACAUCUGAAGGAGGUGCAGUAGGACACACAGUAGGCUUGUUGGUCCAUCAUGCCGUUCAACCCCAUUUCCUCAGUUGAUCAACCUUCAAGUUUGCAGAGACAUCAUAUAGAAAUGCUCUCUCCCUAUGCUGGUGUUCCUGAUCAAUGCAGUGGUGUCAGAAAGGGUUGAUGUAGCUCCUGAGCUCCUUCUAGCCUGGAUGGAUUUUUGAUGUCCAGAACUCACCUUUUUUGAUUUCGCAAGCCACAGAAAGGCAACACCUUUGUGACAUCUCAAUGGUUUGUGCACCUGGGCUUUUCCAUGCCAAAAGACUGUUGAAAUCUUUGGACUUUUGCCCUAAUCACUAUGUAGGAAUGGACACAUUCCUGGUAAUUAUCAACACCUUAUGUUUACUGAUGGGACAAAGAAAACUGUAAUUUCUAAGAAUAAAA